CUUGGUAACCCACAAUGUUGGCACUUUCCCAUCUCCCAUUCUCUAUUAAUUAAGGAUAUUGAUCAGUAAGAUGUCCUUGCAUAGAGCACAUGCCACAUGCAGUUACACUUUGCACUUUGGACCCAUCGACAACAUGUGAUAUAAAAGUAGAAAGAUUAGCCAUUUGAGAUUGAAGUUCUGAAAUAGCACUUACCUAAUUGACUUGAACUGGGAGUGCAUGUUUUCUUUCUCCAACUCAUUCAUAUUGGUGUGCGUUCAAGGCAUGAUUCGCUAAUAAAAUCUUCGUAGCAACUGGGGUUUUGUCAACUAAAGCACCUUCAGCUGUAGCAUCAAGCAUUUGUCUCUCAAGUGGAAGUAGUCAUUCAUAGAAAUAUUGAAUUAAAAGCUCAUCCUUCAUUUUAUGUUGUGUGGACAAGAUGCAACUAAAGUCUUGAAACGCUCAUAAUACAUUGGAAAGGAUUCCUCUGGACCUUGUUGAAUUCCACUAAUUUUCUUUCUCCAAGGAAUGACUCUUGAAGUUGGGAAGAAUUUCUCUAAGAAUGCUUUCUUCAUGCUUUCUCAAGAAGUGACUGUUCCAGGUGCUAAUUCAAAGAGCCAAUCCUUAGCCUUUUUCCAAAAGAGAGAAUGGAAAUGCUUUCAUCUUUAAAAUAUUCCUAUCCACAUUAAUUGGUGUCAUGCUCGAGCACACUACUUUAAAUUUCUUAAGAUGCUUGUUUAGAUCUUCCAUGGACAACCCAUGGUAUUUGGGAAUGUGAUGCAACAAACUAGACUUCAAUUCAAACUCAUCGGUUUUGCCUUGAACUGCCAUAGGGUAUUGAAUGCAAAGGGGAACAUCAUUGUCCAAUCCUGAGCUGAAAGUUCCUUGAUUGUUUGAUUGUCAAUAGCCAUGUCUUGUUCUUCUUCCGGUUCCGUUUUAGUUUCAACUUCAAAUUCUGAUUCGGAACUAGAACUAGGUGGAUUGAAUUCUUAUUGCUUCCUCUUCUUUCUCAAAGUUCGUCAAAAAUCGUCGUCAAUUCCAAUAUAUUCUCAUGAACAUGUUGAGAAUUUCGAGUCAUAAGUAGUUCCUAAAACAGAAGAAACCAAAACAAAAUUAGAAACAAAAGAAAAGACACAAACAUUAAUAAAGGGGAAGAUUAGCAAUUUUGCUAAUCCCCGGCAACGGCGCCAAAGUUUGAUAUGGUAGAAACUAACAACAAAUUAAACACUGUAUAUUAUGCAAUUGUAGUAUGAGUAAGUAGGGAUCAUUCUAUUCUGGGGAUUAGAAUGGAUGUUAAUCAACACAAAUUAAACUUAUAAAGCUGAAAACUAAGUUAAACUAACAACACAAUAAUGACUGGGGGAUUUUGGACGAAUUUAAUUAAAACAAAAGUAUAUGGCAGCAAAUAAAUUAAGUUGUGAAUGAAAUAUGGAUGAAAUGACAGCUAAACGAUUCUUCUCUAUACAUGAAUCAUAUGCAUACAAAUCGAUCUCCAGUUAUUCUUCCUAUAAACCAUGACUGACAAUGCCCCAAAUUAACUAUGAACAACACUAAUUAACUCUUAGAUUUUCCUAAGUUCAUUGAAUUGGACUUAGCAACGCAACCAAAUUAUUCUUCUCAAGUUCCGUAACUAUGAAAAGCAUGAUACAGAUACAUCUUGAAGAUCAUUAAACUCUGUGAAAAUCAUAAGCAUUGACAAAACAUUCGUAACUAUGAAAAGCAUGAUACUCCUACCAAGAAUUUACUUAACUCAAUCAUUACUGACAAUGCCCCAAAUUAACUAUGAACAACACUAAUUAACUCUUAGAUUUUCCUAAGUUCAUUGAAUUGGACUUAGCAACGCAACCAAAUUAUUCUU
rnacentral:lncRNA from 1 species